AAACACUCUACGUCAAAUUCUAUUAUUUAGCUGUCAAUAAAUAUAAAAAAGUCUCAUAUAACAAAACUAUUAAAAUUAUGUCGAAUUUGUGAAGUAAAGCUUGGAAAUCAAAGUCUUUUAACAAACCAUGUAUUUAGAAUAGAAUUGCAUUUUUUUAUACAAAUCGACAAGGACGACCCAGAGAUGCACCCACAGAAAAUGUGCUACAGAUGCUAUUUAACAAUGAGAAACAUUGAAAAAAGGUUCAAACACUAAUCUUAAAUUAAAAACCUGGAUUAGCAAUUGCAAGGAAUGUGAAUGUGUUUGCUUCAAAUUAAAUACAGGAAGGAAACCAAAAAAAUCUGUAAAGGGAAGGCUCUUAAGUAUAGCCAAUGAUGAAAUUUGGACUCGACAAGAAAUAAAUAACAUACAAGCUAAAUUUCCACUUCUGCUAACUUUGAAUCUAAAAUUACAAGACAUUAAUCAAAAUCUUAACCCACUUUUACAUCUUUGUGUCUGUUAUAUUUGCAAUGAUAUUAUGUAUAAACCUAUUAUUUUAAAAAAUUGUCUGCAUUUGUUUUGUGCACCAUGUAUAUUGCCACUUAUUAAUAAUAAACUAUUAUCUGAAACAAAAUGCCCUAAAUGCUUAUUAUCAAUUUCAAUUGAUGGAUUACCUUCUUCUAGCAGUGUAAUUGAAAUGAUAAAUAAUUUUCAAGAAGAAUGUAAGCAAAGGUGUGGUAGAUUAUUUAAAGUGUCACAACUGUCAGAACGCAUGAAUCAUCAAAAUAUUUGUAAGAUUCUAAUACCAAUUUCUUCAACCUUGACAACAUCAUCAUCACAUAUAAGUCUAUCAGAUAUUCAUUAAAUUCAACAAGUGUUAUCACAAGGGAUAUUGAUGAUGUUGCACUUCAUAUUAUUAAACAAAAAAUGUUGCAAACAACGUCUAAUGUAAUAGAAUUUCAGACUGAUGGACCAAGGCCUUUGUGCUUCAUAUCAACACCAAAAGCAUAUAAAGAAAGUAAAGAUUCAACUUUACAGACAGUUCGUAAACGACAAUCACAGUUAAACAAUUACAUAAACACAACGUGUGAUGAAAGCACGAGGUCUAAAAUCAAGCAAACCUCUACUCUUUUAAAAUCAUUUAAUGAAAAUGAACAAGAAAUUAUUUUAAGUAAUUCAAAUAUUUCAAAAACCAAAAUAUCUGCUGAAGAAAUUAUAAAUUUAAAAGCUAACAUGAGCAAUACUAAUGCCAACAUGAAAAUACUACCCAGGUGGUUGAAAACCAAGAACGUCAUUUGUGCUUCAAACGCACAACAAAGAUGUGUGGCUAAAAAGUGGUCAUGCGAUGAUCUUAUUAUUGAAAAAGCUCAAUUUAUGGUUGAAAAAAAGGAGUCCAAAGGUUCUUUUGAAAUAAAAGAAUUACCAUGCGCUUAUAUCAACAAUCUGCAAGGACAUAUAACAAAUGUGCUAGAUAGUUUAGACAGAAACAACUUACUAUGAACAAUAAGAUUAAAGGCAAUGAAAUACAUAUAAAAAUAGGAGGUGAUCAUGGAGGUGGCUCAUUCAAAAUGUGUUAUCAAGUAGUGAACGUAGACAAGCCAUAUUCAAAAACAAACACAACUGUCUUUAAUAUAUUUGAAGCAAGCGAUUGUAGAACAAAUCUGAAGUUUUCACUGUCAAGAUUUAAAUCAGAAAUUGAUUUGUUGCAAAACACCAUUUCGAGAGAAAAACAGAUUAGUGUAUAUUUAUUCGGUGAUUACAAGUUCUUGUGUGCAAUCUGUAGAAUAACUGGUGCAACUGGUAGACAUGUAUGCCUGUUAUGCAACGUCACAAGACAAGGAAUGUCAACUCAUAUUAAGAACAACAUUGAAAUGCAAUCACUUGAGACACUAGAUUCACGAUUAGAAAAAUUUAAAAAUCAUGGUUCAGAACCCAAGUUUGCCAAGUUAUGUGAUAAUGUUAUUGAUCAAAAGUUAUUUAAUGUGCCACUUGGUCAGAUUGGAAUUCCAGCAUUACAUAUCUCACUUGGGACGUACUUAAAAUUUUUCAACAUGUUAGAGGAGUCUUGUCAUACAAUUGACGUCAAAAGUGCAGGUCAAAUGGCAGUAAACAACCAAACACUUGACUGUGAAGAGUUUAACAAGUAUAUUGAGAAGCAACAACAGAUAAAACAACUUCAGAUAAGUAUUCAGGAUCUUAAAGAUAAAGCACGAAUCAUAACAGAAGCACUUGAAACUCACAAUUAUCUAACCCUGAAAAUGAAGAAUAUAUGAAUCUAAUAUUUGAACCACGCAUAAUUCACUUUGAAGAGAAAAAAAAAAAAAAAAGGUUAAGAUUUUCAAUUUUAUUGUUCCCUAAAAAUAUAAAUCAUAAAUAAUAAAUUUUGCUAUGAGAAUCAAUCACCAAAUUUAUAUUCAUAGAUCUCAGUAUUGAAAAUACUGAAAGACACCGACCAUGUAAAGGUGUCAUUUGGUCCACUAGUAAAUAAACUCGACGAGGUACUUAAUUUGUUCGGAGUGCAAAGACAAGCAUACCAUGGCAAAAGUUUUGUUGAUAAUCAUGUUAACAAGAUGUUAAAGAUGAAAAGUAUUCUCGAACUAUGCAACUCAAUACCAAUGCUCGUAGUCGAACUUGGGUUCACUGAAACGGACAUACACAAAGAAACUAUUGAACUUUGUCAGAACUUUAAAGUCCUAUUUGAAAAAAUUGGAGUUUGCCACAUGCUCAUUAACUCCUGCAUGCAGUUCAACAAAGAAAACAUUCAAAGUCUUGGCAUGAGAUAAAAUCAAAUUGAAGAUUUUAUGAAGUACUUCCGUGACAAUUGGCCAAAUGAUUCAAUUACACCUAAGCUUCCUAUGUUUGAAUAUCAUGCAUCGUCUUUCAUUAGGAAAUGGGGAGUUGGACUUGGCACUUAUGGAGAACAGGGUGCAGAGAGUAUUCAUGCUGAAUUUAACAGCAUGAAAAGUACCUACUGGCACAUGAAAGGAACACGUAAACUUAAAAGUAUAAUGGAUGAGCACUUUUUAAAAAACCACCUAACUGUAAAAAAAUAUCAACAAAAAGCUCUGCCUAACACGCUCGUUUAAACUCACCACAAAAGCGACAAGUUAUUGUACGUAAGCGCAGUUAGGUUAUAAUAAAUUUUAGAGUUUUAAAAUGGCUACGGACCUUCGCUACAAACUAGUUUUUAGAUGAAUACUAAUUUUUCUUAACACGCGGCGUUUUUUAGAAUUGUCUACAAAGACAACCAGUUAAUCGAAUUCUUAAUAGUAUUUCGGUAACUUAGUUUUUAUUAGAAAGGUUUGUGGUUAUUUAGUUGGGAAAAAAAAGUACUCUAUUAGAACAAACCAGAGAAAUAAAGUUGAAAAGGUGUUUUUAUGUCUUGCUAUCAGAUGAGAUAGAGAAUGUUCAUCCAUCUAACAUUUGUCACAAAUGUUAUGAUACAAUAAACAAUGUCAUCAAAAGAAUGGCAUCGACAACACUUCUUUCAAAUACGAACUUGAAACCUCAACAGGCAGAAAAACUCAGUAAAGGUGUAAAUUUUACUAAAUCAAAAAAAAAAUGAAUAAAAGACUUAUUGGUCGCCCUGUUCACCAGCCUGGUGUUUGUGAAAAAGUUUGGUUGUUUUCAAUGAUUGCUGACGUUAAAAAAAGCAUUGUUGUAGUACACGACUCAGAAAUAAAUGUUGAAGAGCUAAAAAAUGAGUUUAAUCCACAUUUACAGCUUUGUCAGUGUACUGUGGUAAAAUACCAAAACAGCCAGUAACUUUAAUAAAAUGCGAACACUUAUUUUGUUUUUUUUGUUUAGUAGAAGAUAUAAAGGUAAACCUUCUGAAGGAAACAAUAUGUCCAAAAUGUAAACUGUUUAUUUUACCUGAAGAUUUAGUGACGAAGCAUCAAAAACAACUAUAUGAGUCAGAAAUUCUUCAAUUAAAAAACACAUAGAGGUUAUGUCUGGUAUAUCAAAUGAUGCAAAAUGCUGCCAAUCAUCAAAGCUGCUAAAAUCAUUUCAAACAGAGACAAAGGGUUUGAUAUUGGAUAAUUUAUAUACUGAGGCAGUAAUAAUUACUGCAAAUAACAUGGUAGCAAUGAAAGCAGAUUUGUGCAUACCUUGGUAAAAGCUUAAAACAAUAUUAAAGUGGCUGAAGAACUUUAAUAUAAAUACAGCAUCAUAUUCUUCACAAAGAUUAGUUGCUUAAAAAUUAUCUGGUGAUGACCUAAUUGUAGAAAAUCCACUAAUUAUUUUUGAAAAAGUAGAGAAAGCAACAUUUGAAAUAAAAUACGUAUCUAGGGGCUAUAUUGAAAAUUUACCAAUGCAUAUAUUAAGACAUCUUGAUCAAUUAGAAAGGGAUAACAGUAGUAAAGUAUUUGUUUUUGGAGACUAUGGGUUUUUAUGUGCACUCUACGGGAUUUUAGGAGCUACAGGGAGACAUCGUUGUCUUUUCGUUUAUGCGACAGCAUGUGAAAUAAAAUGUGGUAAACAUGAAAAUCCUGAAAUAAAAGAUCGUACCUUGGAAGAUCUAUUUUCUGAUCAUAAAAAAUUUAUAGAAAGUGGAAAAAUGUUAAGAAUUUUAAUAAUGUCAUUGAAGAACCAAUUUUGAAAAUAACCUUGAUCAAAUUAACAGAAUCCCUUUUGGUGGUGAGACUAAACAAGCUCUUAUUGAUUUUUUUCCACCUCACAUUAAACUAUUUCUGAGCAACAAGUCUUCAGUUGAAGAUAAAGUGAUAUCUAAA